rnacentral:rRNA from 1 species
CCUACGGGAGGCAGCAGUGGGGAAUCUUGCGCAAUGGCCGAGAGGCUGACGCAGCGACGCCGCGUGGGGGAUGACGCAUUUCGGUGUGUAAACCCCUGUUGCCCGGGACGAACGAUCCUUUUCGAGGGAUGUGACGGUACCGGGUGAGGAAGCACCGGCUAACUCCGUGCCAGCAGCCGCGGUAAUACGGAGGGUGCGAGCGUUGUCCGGAAUCACUGGGCGUAAAGGGCGCGUAGGUGGUUGGAUGCGCCGGUGGUGAAAGCGCAGGGCUCAACCCUGCGUCGGCCAUCGGGACGGUCCGACUGGAGCACUGUAGAGGCAGGUGGAAUUCCGGGUGUAGCGGUGGAAUGCGUAGAGAUCCGGAAGAACACCGGUGGCGAAGGCGGCCUGCUGGGCAGUGGCUGACACUGAGGCGCGACAGCGUGGGGAGCAAACAGGAUUAGAUACCCUGGUAGUCCACGCCGUAAACGAUGGGCACUAGGUGCUUGGGGGAGCGACCCCCUGAGUGCCGACGCUAACGCAUUAAGUGCCCCGCCUGGGGAGUACGACCGCAAGGUUGAAACUCAAAGGAAUUGACGG